rnacentral:rRNA from 1 species
AUUGAACACUGGCGGCAGGCCUAACACAUGCAAGUCGAACGAGUGGCGGACGGGUGAGUAAUGUCUGGGAAAUUGCCCGAUGGAGGGGGAUAACUACUGGAAACGGUAGCUAAUACCGCAUACCAUCGGAUGUGCCCAGAUGGGAUUAGCUAGUAGGUGGGGUAACGGCUCACCUAGGCGACGAUCCCUAGCUGGUCUGAGAGGAUGACCUGCCAGACUGGAACUGAGAAACGGUCCAGACUCCUCCGGGAGGCAGCAGUGGGGAAUAUUGCACAAUGGGCGCAAGCCUGAUGCAGCAAUGCCGCGUGUAUGAAGAAGGCCUGCGGGGUGUAAAGUACUUUCAGCGAGGAUGCGUUACUCGCAGAAGAAGCACCGGCUAACUCCGUGCCAGCCGCCGCGGUAAUUC